rnacentral:rRNA from 1 species
UACGUAGGGUCCGAGCGUUGUCCGGAAUUAUUGGGCGUAAAGGGCUCGUAGGCGGUCUGUUGCGUCGGGAGUGAAAAUUCACAGCUUAACUGUGAACUUGCUUCCGAUACGGGCAGACUAGAGGUAGGCAGGGGAGAGCGGAACUCCUGGUGUAGCGGUGGAAUGCGCAGAUAUCAGGAAGAACACCGGUGGCGGAAGGCGGCUCUCUGGGCCUUACCUGACGCUGAGGAGCGAAAGCGUGGGUAGCGAACAGG